GAUCCUGGCUCAGGACGAACGCUGGCGGCGCGCCUAACACAUGCAAGUCGAACGAGCGAGAGAGAGCUUGCUUUCUCGAGCGAGUGGCGAACGGGUGAGUAACGCGUGAGGAACCUGCCUCAAAGAGGGGGACAACAGUUGGGAACGACUGCUAAUACCGCAUAAGCCCACGACCCGGCAUCGGGUAGAGGGAAAAGGAGUGAUCCGCUUUGAGAUGGCCUCGCGUCCGAUUAGCUAGUUGGUG
rnacentral:rRNA from 1 species